rnacentral:rRNA from 1 species
AGCGAACGCUGGCGGCAGGCCUAACACAUGCAAGUCGAACGGAUCCUUCGGGAUUAGUGGCGGACGGGUGAGUAACACGUGGGAACGUGCCUUUUGGUUCGGCAUAACUCAGGGAAACCUGAGCUAAUACCGAAUGUGCCCUUCGGGGGAAAGAUUUAUCGCCAUUAGAGCGGCCCGCGUCUGAUUAGCUAGUUGGUAGGGUAAAGGCCUACCAAGGCUACGAUCAGUAGCUGGUCUGAGAGGAUGAUCAGCCACACUGGGACUGAGACACGGCCCAGACUACUACGGGAGGCAGCAGUGGGGAAUCUUGCGCAAUGGGCGAAAGCCUGACGCAGCCAUGCCGCGUGAAUGAUGAAGGUCUUAGGAUUGUAAAAUUCUUUCACCGGGGACGAUAAUGACGGUACCCGGAGAAGAAGCCCCGGCUAACUUCGUGCCAGCCGCCGCAGUAACAC